AGUACCCAAAGCUUAUCUGGAACAAAUCGCUAUUUAGCGGAUAAACUUUAUGCACAACUGGUGAAACUGGCCCUAAAAGUUCUGUCUGAUAUGUGAACUUUACAUUAAUUUAGUUACUAUAAAAAUUAAUAUGUUGGAUUUAUAUGUUAUUGUACUCUGUGUGAUUAUGUGUUAUUUUACUCAAUAAAUAUUAAAUAAAUAGCAA